GUGUGUCUCAGCUGGACUCUUCUUACUCAUUCUCUUCCUGGUAGACCUGGCUGAAAGCUGAGUUGUUUCUGUAAAUUUUUAUUUGACAAUCGGUAGAGAAAGCAGGCUGUGAAACCUGGUCUGCCACUUUAUAAAUUGUGCUGAUCUGAGCAAGGGAUUUAAUUUCCCGGAGCUUCAAUUUCCCAACCUAAAAUAAUGAUGCAGAAAUCGCCAUCAUGCGGAGUUAUUGAAGGAACUUGGUAAGAUACUCUUGAGAGAAUCCUGACAUCUAUCUGCUCGCUAAAGCUCCUGGUGACGCGAGUUACAACAAAAUAAAACAAAUAAACAAACAGCAAUGAUAACAAACCCAAGGAGAAGAAAAGGAAGAAAAAUAAGAUUUCUGCCCAGACAUUAAUCAGAUGCUUGGGCAUGUGGACGCUCUGAAGAUCCCAGCAUCACUAGCUUGACAUUAAAACUGUCAACAGAUACAAUCUGCACCGCUGCUUCCUGUCUUCCGGAGUCACAUUGAACUUGCCUUUGCCUAACAUUUAUUACAAGCUUCGCUGAGAAGAAUGAAUUCAGAAAGUAUUGUCUAAAAUGUAUAGUGUUGAUGGCUGAGCAAGGCACUGAUCUCCUAUUAGAAAUUCCAUGAUGCCCGGGCGUGGUGGUGCAUGCCUUUAAUCCCAGCACUUGGGAGACAGAGGCAGGAGGAUUUCUGAGUUCCAGGCCAGCCUGAUCUACGAAGUGAGUUCCAGGACAGCCAGGGCUACAGAGAAACCCUGUCUUGAAAAACCAAAAAAAUAAAAAUAAAAAUAAAAAUAAAUUC
rnacentral:lncRNA from 1 species